rnacentral:rRNA from 1 species
CUACGGGAGGCAGCAGUGAGGAAUAUUGGUCAAUGGGCUUACGCCUGAACCAGCCAAGUCGCGUGAGGGAAGACUGCCCUAUGGGUUGUAAACCUCUUUUGUCAGGGAGCAACGCCGGCUACGUGUAGCCGGACUGAGAGUACCUGAAGAAAAAGCAUCGGCUAACUCCGUGCCAGCAGCCGCGGUAAUACGGAGGAUGCGAGCGUUAUCCGGAUUUAUUGGGUUUAAAGGGUGCGUAGGCGGAAUGCCAAGUCAGCGGUAAAAUCGCGGGGCCCAACCUCGCUCCGCCGUUGAAACUGGCGUUC